GGACCUCACUGUCCCCGUACGUGUCUGUCCAGCUCCAGAGGACGAAGCUGAGGCCACGCAAGUGGUGCCCACCACGACCCCCGAGCCUCCCAUCAAGCCUCGCCUGGGGGAGCUGACCGUGACAGAUGCCACCCCUGACUCCCUGAGCCUGACCUGGACGGUCCCCGAGGGCCAGUUUGACCACUUCCUGGUCCAGUACAAGAACGGGGACGGGCAGCCCAAGGUGGUGCGGGUGCCGGGGCACGAGGACGGGGUCACCGUCUCAGGCCUGGAGCCAGACCACAAGUACAAGAUGAACCUGUACGGCUUCCACGGGGGCCAGCGCGUGGGCCCCGUCUCUGCCAUCGGGGUGACGGCUGCCGAGGAAGAGACCGCUGCUCCCACAGAGGUGGAGGAGACCCCCAGCCCCACAGAACCCAGCACGGAG